UGUUGUGGUCUGGAAGUUUGAAUGGGCAACAGAGCCAGACACGGAGGAAUAAAGCACCGCCAGUGCCCGGAGGCUUUGUGUGUAUGACGGCCACAAAUUGUGUGUUACACACAGCACAGGGACGCGGGGAGAGCGAGCAAGCUCCUGCAUGAAGGGGAAGAAUUUGCACGGCAGCUGUCAUUUGCCAAGGAGAUUAACUUCUAAUUCCUGGAGGGUUGGUAACCCUUCCAAGGCCCUUCAGGUACAGUGUGCAGAACAGACAACACAAGCAGCAGUGUUUGAAGCAAGCAGCAAACAGGGCUGAGAUGUAAGAGACCAUCAUCAUGGAAACUUUACAGUGUUGGCAGCAGUUUGUGGAGCGUGUAAAGGAAAGGGCAUCUCUCUCUGCCGGCUGGGUUGAGCAGAGGACUCAGACAGACACAGGAAGGUUAAAGACAGACGGCCGGGGAUAAGGCUUCACUCCAGCGAUCAAGAGCGGAGUUGGCAGCGCGCCAGCCCACUGUAAGUGGAACACACUUGCGUCACUGUUCCCUCGGCAACGCCGGGCUCUGCACAGAACUCUCUCCCCCCCCCCAGUUAGCUCCUUUGCUUCAUGUUUCCAUGUGUGUGAUUUACACCAUUAACGCUGAAUGGGAUUUCCAGCUGUUCUACAGCCGGGAGAAUUUUGUCGAGUGGUAUCAGGGAAAUAGUUUGAUCCCUGAGCAAGAUGAUCGGCGCAGAUAGUUUCCUAGAGGCUGCCAGCAAAGUGAACCGCACACACUGAUCUGCCCGGGGUGGGGGUCCCUGACAAAUUAACCCCACAUUUCCCCAGUCACAACGCAGA